rnacentral:rRNA from 1 species
UACGUAGGGGGCAAGCGUUGUCCGGAAUUAUUGGGCGUAAAGCGCGUGUAGGCGGCUCGGUAAGUCUGCUGUGAAAGUCCAGGGCUCAACCCUGGAAUGCCGGUGGAUACUGUCGAGCUCGAGUCCGGAAGAGGCGAGUGGAAUUCCUGGUGUAGCGGUGAAAUGCGCAGAUAUCAGGAGGAACACCAAUAGCGAAGGCAGCUCGCUGGGACGUUACUGACACUGAGGCGCGAAAGCGUGGGGAGCAAACAGG